ACGCUCGACACCUGAGGCAGCAGUCGGGAAUAUUGCGCAAGUGGAGGAAACUCUGACGCAGUGACGCCGCGUAUGGGAAGAAGGUUUUCGGAUUGUAAACCAUUUUAGACAAGGAAGAAACAAGACAGUACUUGUAGAAUAAGCUCCGGCUAACUACGUGCCAGCAGCCGCGGUAAUCUGAGCGGGCUGGCAAGGC
rnacentral:rRNA from 1 species